AAAGUCGUAACAAGGUUUCCGUAGGUGAACCUGCGGAAGGAUCAUUAAAAUAUGAAGGGCCCCCGAAGGUCUAUCUAAAAACCCCUGUGAAAACCUUUGUUGCUUCGGUAGCGCCUCCCUCCGCCUCACGGCAGGGAGAGGGUCAGCCUGCCGGCGGCACGUUUAAAAAACCCUUCAUGCAAAGUAGCAUUUUAAAACGUCUGAGAGCGCAGUCGAAUGACACUUAAAACUUUCAACAACGGAUCUCUUGGUUCCC
rnacentral:misc_RNA from 1 species